GACUGGGGUUGUACACCUGUCAGAAGGUAAGACAGUUGUCCUAAGGCAAGCUCUGGGAAGAGAGAAACCUCCCAUGGGGCAGAGGAGAUAAAGCUCACUUGAUCUUGAUUUUCAGUAGAAACACGGACCAUGAAAUUGGGG
rnacentral:ncRNA from 1 species